UCCUUUUCCUUUUCCUUUUCCUUUUCCUUUUCCUUUUCCUUUUCCUUUUCCUUUUCCUUUUCCUUUUCCUUUUCCUUUUCCUUUUCCUUUUCCUUUUCCUUUCUUCCUUUCGCCGUGUCUCUGGCCGUACAUCGCUGUCUGGCACAUUCUGCAGCUGGAGCCGCUUCUCCGCGCCCUGAGGCAGCUGCUGAUCCCGGCUCCCGGAGGCAGCGCGUGGAAACAAGCGGCUCCCAAAGGAACAUCUUGCACGGACUGCAGUGCCCAGAGACACUCAGGUCAACGUUGCCAUCUGCUGGGGCUGUGCCGGAGCUGCCUGCAGCUGGAGAUGUGCCUGCAGCUGGAGAUCUGCCUGCUGGGGCUCCUAGUCUGGGGCUGGAGAGCGUGCGGAUAAUGAAUGGUGUGUGCUGAACAGCACAAGCCUCCCACCAAAGCUGCUCUAAGAUGAGUUUAGAGAAAAGAGGCUUCCAGAAACUGGGGAAGGAAAAGGAUUCUUGGUCUAAAUCUGCUGUUGCCUUCUCCUUUCCCCAGGCAAAAAAAUCACCACUGCUAUGGACAUCUGCUUUAAUCAGAUACUACUGGCCUGUACUUUACAAUAAUUGUAUUCUGUACAAGGUGGUUUUGCUCAUUUUCAUUCCUCUAUGCCCUAAAUGUCUUGAUGUCCAAUUUAGCCAAUAAGUACUUGCAUCAAAUAGAAGUGUUAGUAUGCUUGUGCUCCUAAGAGGUCCAUAGCACUCUGAGGAAAGUUAAGCAUCGUCUUCUUUCUUCCAUUUAUUAAUUUCCUUUAACUAUAUAAUGCAGGUAAACUUCUUAGGUGUAUAUCAAAGACUAGACUGUCUGUUCUGUUUUAAAGAUGAACACAAUAAAACAAGAAGGUGAAAUAACAUUUCAAAGGGCUUAUUAUUUUAAUAGUUUCAUCUUGCUAAACAGCUUGAGUUCCUUUAGCUUUUCCUUUUAUUUUCCAUCUAUCCAGGAUGGAGAUAUAUAUAUAUAUGUGUGUGUGUGUGUGUGCAUGUGUGUAUAUAAGAUGAAAAAUUGAAAAAUACACUUUUUUAACCAAAAAAAAAAAAAAAUCUGCCAAGUGUAAAUUAGUUCUUUCUCCCAUCCCCUCAAGUACCAGCUUAAAAUGUAAAAGGAUCUCUACAGGCACAGAAAUGCUAUUUAUACUCCCAGGACUUGCUGAAUAGGGAAGUUCAAAAGCAGAUAAAUUGGAUCUCAAUGUCUGAUUUUAGUGGUAAACAAAAUCUUGAACAGCAAAAGAAGAAAAAGGUGUGAAGUUGAGGAGCAGGAGGAUGUUGGGAAGAGGGGGUAGCUAAUGUUUAUUUGUGUAUGAAAGUCUUUUAAUUAUAAGAAGAAAUUCUUUCAGAAAGAUUUUAUUUGUAUUUUCUCUGAGCCUUCUUGGUGCAGGAAAGGAUUUUCUCCAAUUCAGCUAAAAUACAACAUCUGGUACUGUGGGCUUUUAUUAAGGUGCAAUUUCAGCAUAGAUGCAUUAUUACUAUUACAAUGCAUUAAUUGUUGCAACAAUUCGGGCAUUAUAAUAGUAUCUUGCAGGCUUAAAAGAGGAAAAUAAUAACUGCACAAAAAGCACAAUAAAAAUAAAAUUAAUCAGGUGAAAGGAAGACUGUUUGUAAUAUAACUACAAGAGUAAUUAUUUUUUCCGCUGAUAGGUGCAAAGAAACUUGAGAUAUUAAAACACUUUUCUAGUUAUACAAUCACUGAAAAAAUAACGUAGUAAGAAGUGAUUUGUUCUGUUUUCUUGCUUUACUUUGGUUUAGAAAGAAAUUCUGAAAUAAAUUAUAUAUAUAAAAUAAGAUUUUUUUAGCAACAGACAGAAUUAAAUUGCUGUCCCCAGAAACUGCAGACAACCCAGCCAAUCUCCCAACAGUUUUUAUAGCUUGCAAUUCACCAAAUGCCAGUUGUGUAAAUCUCCUUCCUGUCUGUCACUCAGGUUGCUAACAGUGACAUCCCUUUAUGGACUCUUACCCUUUGCAGCUGCUAUUCUUUAUUUUUUUUUUUCCCCCUCAGAAAAGGAGAAAGCCUUCCAAAGCUUUCACGGGUGAAGCAUGCCAUAUUUUCAGGAAGCACUGAGGAACAAUCCUGCCUGGAGUGAAAUAACACAUUUAUUUUGGUGACUUGCCAAUCCCCAAAAUCCCUGUGGGUAUCAAUAUCUAAAUGUUAGGGGAUUUUGUAGAGGUUUUGUAGGUUUGGUCUGUCAGUUUGGCUGUACAACAGAUUUGCUACAUGGUAAGAAUUCUCCCCCAUGAUUGAAUUAAAGUUUUUGCUCCUGAUGGUGUUAUUUUGUUUAGCUAUGGAUUUCCACAUGCUGUCUUGGUCUGUUACUGCCCAGCUUGCGAUUCUGUUUUUACACAAUGUUGCUAAGCUGGCUCGCUGACAGGAAUAUAGUCAGAGCUGUGGGCUGAAUUCUGUUCCUUUACUGCUAACUAGCCUGCAGGAAGAAAGAGUUCUCAUCCUCUCCUCUCUCUCGUGUACUCUGGCUUCUGAAAGCUCGAGGAGUUUGUGAUGAGGUCCCUGUUACUCCUUAGCAAAGCUUUCCCUGGGGUAUCCUCUCUUUUUUACACUAUUUAUUCCUCCAGCAGGAUCAGUGAAGACGUGAAUGUGUUGGUCUCUGAAACAUAUGCCACAAAUCAGUCUAGCACUUCUUUCUAAUCUUAAUGGAGAUGAGCUGCUUGUUGUAAUUUCUUGAAUCUCUCAUUUAGGAUGUAGAGAGACCAUAAAUCUUAAAGCAACAAACAUUCCCAAAUCCUACACUUUGAAGUGAAUGGGAGCGCCUGGAUCAUCAGCACUUUUCGGAAAUAAGCUGCUUAACUAGGUGUCUGAAGUCAUUACAGUCUUUUUCUUUCUGAAAACUUUGGUCUCAAUAUUUGAGGGAAUAUACAACAAAAAGUUUGCAACAAAAAGUGUGAGCAGUGCUUCCCUGAACAGCCUCAGACAAAUCUGUUGGAUACUGUAGCAUCCAAACUCAGCACUCCUGAGUGCCAAGCCAAGAGUUUGGCUUGAAGAUUACAUUACAUUUAUUAUUAGAUUUUGUUUGGUGUAAGGGAUUUGGUCGUUUUUGUGGGUUUUUUUUUUUUUUUUUUUUGUUUGGUUUGUGGUGGUUUUUUUGUUUGUUUGUUUGGUUGGUUUUUUGGGUUUUUUUGGGUUUUUUUUGCUUUCGAUGUUGUUAUUAAAAAACCCAAAACAAAACCAAGAAAAUCCAACUCAAAUAUCAGGCUUGUUGUGAUUUUUAAAAAUUGUUUGCAUUAUUGUUGUUUGUCUGGGUUUCUUUAAGUUUAUUCUAUCAGUACUUUUCAUUCCCUAUCUUACAUCUUCUCUUUUGAAAACUUACUAUUACUUGACUGUGGUGUGGAAUAGUCUAAACAACUGCUAUAAAUAUCUGCUAAAAUAUGUUUCUCUGCAGAGUAUAACAUAGCUAAAUGUAUGCAACGUAUUAUUAUUACGUUCUUAUUUUACUUCCUCAUUUUUGUCUUUAGUUAAAAAUUCAAUUUAACUCCAUAGUCUCUAUCAAUGAAUGAGUUAAUCAAGCUGUGUGCUGGUACUUGAAUUGGAGACUAUUUUUAAAGAACAAGUAGAAUUUUUCCAUAAAUAAUGUAGGCAAUAUACUGAAACAUAGAUUGAAAACCAGACCAAUUUCUGAAAAAUGCUUGCAAGCUGGUUAGGAAACGAGGGGAACAAACGUGAAUGUAGUGUUGCUUAUCGUCUAUUAAUGGAUCAUAUCUUGGCACAAGUGUUUACAUUUCACCUCAGGGUAAACUCUUCAGCCUGUUGGCUGACUUUUGAGGGCUGACUCAUCCUGGCAGCAGCCUUCAACAGCCUGGCUUUUGGAGUAGCCCAUGUGGCAUGGGACUCAUGUUUUAAUGGCACAGGAGCACUUCCAUGACAGCACUUUUGUGGUGAUCACAUUGUGGGCAGGUGUUCAUAUUUUGUGUUGAGGGUUAUGGUUAUUCUGCCUGAAUAAUCUUGUAUUAUUAUCUGUGUGCUCACAGCAGCGCAGGAGUUUGGGAUGCUCACAGGUGCUCAAGCACUGGAAAGAAGUAGGUAAGAGCUGGACUACACUAGUGCCAUCAGCACAGGGCCAUCAGCAAUCCGAGUUCCCCCUUUGUAUCCACACAAUCCACGCCUUUAUUAAGUGCAGGCCCCAAGCUGGAGCAGCCUGUUCAUGAAGGACUGUGCCAGGACCCCAGGCUGAAGCAGUUCAUGAAGAACUGCAGCCCAUGAGAAGGACUCACCCUGGAGGAGUUCAUGGAGAACUCCCCUCCUGAGGAGGGGAUCCAUGCUGGAGCAGGGAAGUGUGAGGAGCCCACCCACUAAGGAGAAAGAAUAGGAAGAAGAAACAUGUGAUGAACUGACCACAGCCCCCAUUCCCCAACCAGGAAUAAAGUUAGGCCCAGGAAGAAAAGGUGGGUGGUGAAAAAGUGUUCUUAAGAUUUGGUUCUAUUUGCCAUUAUCCUACUCUGAUCUGAUUGGUAAGAAAAGUAAUGUCCCCAAAUCAAGCCUGUUUUUCUGUGACAGUGGAAGAAUUGAAAAACCAAAGGAAAGACAGUCAAUAUAGGGCAAGAUUGACAAAAUUCAUCACCUCUUGCUGGCAGCCUUACAGUGGUCAGUAAAACAUGGUUAACAUCUAUGGGAUGUAGUAAGACAAUUAAAUAGAUUUAGGAUUUGGUUUUCUGUUUGAAUGUUAGAUUGAAAAAUGCGUAUGUCUGUCACAGGAAAAAAAAAUUACAUUUGUGGCUUUCAGUUAUCCAGUAUUCCCACAAAAAAAAUAUACUUCCAUGAUGCAGGUGAAAGCAAGAUUGUUGUUGUAAACCUAAAUAGCCCAGAUUAAAUAAGCUAAGUUGUUGUAUCUUGGGGUUUCCUUCUUUUCCUUUUCCCUUUUCCCUUUCCUCCUAGAAGGAGAAAUACAGUUGCCAGUACUGCUUUUAGACCCUUCAAGAUUUUCUUCUGGGACACUAAAUCUUUUCUCCACUGGUGAAAAAAGUAUGGGUUUGUGUCAGGGCAGUUAGCAAACUUGCAUUGUCUUAAGGUGCUGUGAAGAGAAUUUGCCAAGGUUAGUUUCCUUGCUGACUCAUCACGUCUCAUCUUCCCAAAAGUAAUGGUUUGUUAUACCCUGGGUUGGGCCCCAUGUGUGGUUUAUGCUGAGAGUUCUCCUGAGCUACAAACCAGUCCUGAGUGGGCUGAUGGAGGGAGGCAGAUGAGGGUGAAAAUGGCCUGUUUAGGUGUCAAAACUGGUGAGAGGCAGGGGAGCGGGACUCAGGUUGUGGCUAGUGAUGGUAGGAUACACACAGUGUCCCAGAGGAGCUGUCACAAAUUUCCACAAUGGUGGAAUUGUUGCAGCCACUCUGAUAUUUGGGACUUUGACAGCAGAGAUCAAAAUUAACUUGUGUUUGUGCAGAAAUGCUAUCGUUUCAGUUUUGACUGCAGGGUUGGCCGUCACCUACGCAUCAUGUGCAUUUCCUAAUAGUUCAAGUCUCUUGGACUCCUCCCAAAGGCUUUCAGGGGAUUCUGUUACUCCCAUGUGAUCUUUAACAGCUGCCACACGUCAGAAUUUGAACUGAGCCUGUCAAGGUUGAUGUGAAUGUUUGAUAAGCCAUUGGAAAAAAAAAUGGUUUGGUUUUACAAGUGUGGGAAGCUCCUAGGCAGAGGGUCGUAAAUGCUCUACUGGUUUCAAAGAUAGUACUUGAACCAGGAAGACAAAAUGGCUUUGGAACAUUGUUUGAACAAUGGGCUGCAGGACAUCUGCCCAAGGGCUGCAGGCACACAUGCCCUUCGCAUCUCACAGCCUGCAGUACAGAAUGAGAACAGCAGUGCAUUUAUAUGUGUUUUGUAUGUUACACCAGCAUGUAUAUGUGCAUCUAUAUCUGUGUGCAGCCUGCAUAACAACACAAUAGAUUGAGCUCUAGUUUGUGAAAAUUUAAAUGUUCCCUGACUUUUUAAGUCCUGCAGCUAGGAAACCAAAAUAGAUUUUGCAAGAGGUAAUAGUGCUUACUUGACUUGUUGCUAUUCUUUCCAUAUCACUGUAACCAGAUACACAAAUAUCAAGGCACAGCUUUCAAGGCAUUGUGGAGGUCCCCUAGACCUCCUAUCUCUGCAAGAGAAGCAGGUGCCUGAAGCUCUGGACCUUCCUGCUUGUCUUCUCAAAGCCGAAUUUCCAGCUUUGUGAGGAGGGUGGGUGACUCAUGUCCAGCACAGAGACCACGUGGGCAGGUGAGAUUUACAGAAGAACACCUCUAUGUGCGCUGCAGUUGUGUGAGUGAGGAACAGCCCCUUGGAGCAGCACAGGUGCCCCAUUUCAGAAUGUCCUGGGUCACUUUUGUGGGAGCCCUUUGAAGUCAGUUGCACAGACAGGAGGGCAUCUUGAACCAUCUGCAGGCAUGAGACAUCUUUGGGUGGCGCUUUGCUUCUGCUCUCCUCAUUCCCUUGAGAAGAAAGUCAAGUGACCAGAUGAAACUCCCUAAGCAGAAAUGUCAGGAAAGGGGAGGUGAAUCCCAUUUAGUCAGCUUUCAAAUUAAUAAGCUACUCUGUAAUUUCAGAACUAAACUCAUUUAUUUCACAUUAAGAAAUAGAAAGGCUGUGUUAAUUUCUUCUAUCAGAUAAGAGCAACUGAUAAGUGACAGUUGUCCAUUUUUUUUGUUGAUGGUCGAAGUCAUUGACUUUUGAAAUGACAGAAUGACUUUUGAAAUGACAGAAAGAAGUUUGAAGCUGAGAAUCAUCCCAGGAUAGCAGAACAUAUUUGACAGAGUUUUACUAGUAUAAAUUUACUAGUAUAAAUUGACCAGCAUACGCUGGUUAAUUGACCAGACUGAAAAUAUAAAUAUAUUGAAAAAUAUAUAUCUAUAUCUAUGUCUAUAUAUUUUUUUAAAAUUUUAAAUGCUUUAGAUAUAUAUAUUUUUUUAAACAACAACAAAACUUCUUGUUAUAAUUUUUUAAGUUUCAUCAAAGCAACAGUUAAUAAAAGGGAGAAGCUUGUGUGUCAACAGGUUAAGAACAAUCACACUUUUCUAGAAUUUUUAUUUCAAAUUAAAAUAAUCUGUGCAUUGUAGGUUUGUUUUCGUUGUUUUUUAAAUUUUUUUUAAUUCCAUUUUUCAUGUGCUGUUCAAACAAAAGACCUUUUUUUAAUGUCUGAUGAUGAAAAAAAGAUUUUUAUUUUUGUUGUUCAAAAAAUAUGAAAAAAGUCCCCAAGUUGAAAUGGUGAAAAUAAAAUGUUUAGGAGAGAAAAUAUAUAGAAGCCUUGCUUGAAUGUGUAGUUAAAUUAAAUUUAAGGAUAUAUGUCACCAGUUAUUAUAGAUGUAAUUUCCGGAUGAUUUUUUAAAUAGUAAAUAGAAAUUGGGAUAGAUACAUGGUUGAGAUUAGUCUUACCUACUGUUUUUUAUUUUUUUUUAUCACUUUUAUAAAUUUUUCAGUGUUGUUUUUUAUGAAGAUUUAGCUUUGAAAUAUAUCUGCAGUUUACAGCUAGACAGAAUCUUCCUCCAGGUUUUCCAUGGGAUGCAGCAAGCUGUUGAAAUAAAUGCUGCCAAUUUCUGUGCUUUUGAUACCAGGAUUGUUUUUGUGACCUGGUAAUUUACGAGGGCUUGCAACUGAGUGGCCUCAUUUUGCUUGUAAGGUUAUCAGUGAAGAGCAAAAAGCUGCUCCUAGCUAGUCUCAAAGGCUUGGGUUCUAUUUCGAGGGUUUAUUUUAACUGAGAAACAUUACAGCAAAAUUAAGAGCCUAACUUUGCAUGACAUUUUCAUCUGAACUUGUAAUUAAAAAAUGUAUCGUCUGAUUGACCCCCUGUGUGAGAGGGAAAUAAAUCUCCUGCUUAAGACAGCUAUUAUAUCUGGUGCCACAUAUCAGGUUGUCUCUACAGGUCCCUGUCAAAGCAGAGUUGGAGGCUUAUUAGCAUCCUAUUAAUAUGUGCAUAAAAUGUAGUCUGUGUCUGAGCACAAAUACACAAGCUGGGAAAUCAAAGAGAAAUCCUUCACACCUUUUGCUGGCUUCAUCCUGAACUUUUAUUUAGCUUAAAACAACUUCCUUAAGAGAAUUUCCUCUUCUAAAGGAAACACUUUUCUCCAUACUUAGCAGGGGAAUACUGCAUUGAAUUAUUUUUGGAGUGACACAGUCACCACUGGGAGAGAAUUGCUUUAAUCGCAACAUAUGUAUCUUGAUUUUGUCUUGUGUAAAGUAUUGAUCAAUGUGAAAAGUAUUGACCUAUCUGUGGCUUUUUUUUUUCUUUAUAGGUAAAGGUUAAGGAAAUGUUGAGCAGAGUAUUUUCACUUGUAUUUUAUCAAAAUCUUAUUAAGAAAGGUCUACAAAGGCUGCUCUGUGUUGCAAGUUUUCUUUUAUUUAUACAAACAAUACUAGCAUACUUGUUUCUGAGUACUUUAGGGUUUUAUGUAUACUACAAACCUCUAAAGUCAGUUUCAUACUGACUUUGAUAUUGCAGUGCAAAAACCUUGUCUGUAGCAGUCAUUUUAAUUUAGAAAUCCAUCUGUUUAGCUUAUGUUAGUAAGCAAUGGAUUUAGACUGAAUUAAUAUAAGUCACACUGAACUGAAAUAAAAGUUUUGAAAGAGUUUAAAAUUCAUUGUUUAGUUUAAGCAAGAGCUGAGAGUUGCAGGUGGGGAAGGAAUAGGAUAGAUCCUUGCAUGCACCCUUUUUUCUGUUGUCUAGUCUCAAAUGUGCCUCAUGAACUGCUAAGAAUUGUUUAAGAAAAACUUAGGUGGUUCUGUUAAAGCUUGAGGGUUAAGAAAACCUUCAUUUGGUAAUGGAGACUGAAGUGCUUUUAAAAUCAAGCUGGCUAUUUACGUUGUUUAAAUAAAUCUAAUGUAACAGUUCAGUUUCCAAAAGCUUUAUGUUGCUCAAGCUGUUUAUAUUUUGUUCUUUGAGAUUUUUUACCAAAGUACUUUUCCCCUUUAUUCUGCGAGUGAAAGUGUUCCCUGAAUUGCCUGCAGGUACUGUCCUGCAGAACCAGCAGCCUCCAGGCAAGCUCUUCCCACACUCAUGUGCCAAUAGGUCUGGAAAAGUUGCUGUAUCCAAUUACUAAGUUGUCAUAACAAUUUGUGGAAGUAUGUUAAUGCUUCUUUUUACAGGAGUACCUCGCACAUUAUUGCUCAGGGCUUCCACAGCAUGAUUUCCCAUUAUAUAUUAUGUCAAAUAAACACAUGGGUGACUGGAAAAUGCAGAUCUCCUCUACCUGGGCCUGCACACACAAGAUGGUUGAACUUUUGUAGCUUUUCCACUGUGUCAUGAGGGCCUCAAUGCCUAAAAGAAACAACAGAUUAAGUUCUCUUUUAGCAUCUAAAGUUUGUUUAAAUUGUAUGUUUUCCACAGUGAGUUAUCUACAUGGAUUUAAUAUAAGUAUGGAAAUUAAAUUAGAUUUAAAAAUAAAAAUGAACAAUUUCUUUUCUACCCAAGGUUUACCUGUGAGGGAGACUACAUUUUCAGAAAGGAAUAGCUCAGCUUUUUUGUUGUAAAAGCCUGUAGAUGUUUAAUUUCACUCAUGUUCAUUUGCAGGCAUGUUUGCACGGCGUGGAGUGGUUUGGGUGUAGAGCAUGAAAAGAGCAGGGAUGAUGAAAGUAAGCAUAUUUAAUUAAGUGGCCAUGGCUGCUGAGAAACUUUAAAUUUGCUUUAUGCCAACCAUUUUAAAGUGGAAAUACCUGAGAUACAUUAAAAUAUUACUAUUAAUAUUUAUGAAGCAAAAGUCUUUAGAGCUAAUUACCUCAGACCUACUUUGAAGUGAGCCUCCAGCUGCUCUCCUUUGGCACUUGGAGGCUCCCACCAUGAAGUAGGGCUGAGGUUGGAUGGAUGGAUGGACAUGCUUUGCCUUGUGUGUGCCAGCUGCCAGUGGGUGCUUUGGUUCACAGCUCCAUACCAGAGGUAGCUCCAGUAUGUAGAGUAAAAAAAAACCUGGGUGGGUGCUGGGUCCUCAGCAGUGACUUUUAUUCUGCAGGUUCACCUUCCUCUGUUCUGUGCUGUGCUAAUGCAGGUGUGGACAGGGAUGUGCUCCCAGAUUCCACUCAUUUCAUUAAUCUUAGUGUGUCCAUAAUGCAUCGUAUGAGGUGUGAAACUCCUGGUCCUCUGGAGUAAUUUGUACCGAUGAAGUCUGUAAAACUUAAAAUCUUUAGCUUGAGUAUGCAAUUCAUUGGUAUAUUAGCAGAUAAUAACUCAUUUUUAAUCUCAACAGCUAUCUAUUUUGAGCAAAAAAAUAAAAAUAACCUAAAGACUGCAGGCUUGGUUAUGAUAGACCAUUAAAAAAUGAAAGUGUCUAGGACUAAAGGAUGGUAAUUUUGGAAUUUUUCUCAGAUGCUUUCUUCAGAAGAAAAGAAUUUGGAGAAUAUUGAAGAGGAAGAGGGGAAAAGUGACUGCAGGAGAAACUGAGAGCUGGAUUCUUAUCUUAUGGAGCACCCACAUCUGUUUCUCUGUUGGACGUAGCAGGGAGGAACUGACCGAAGAUGAUAUAUAUUACUAGUACAAGCCUGAAUUUUUCAAUUUCUUUAAGAACCUGAACAGAACCUGGAACUCCUGAAGAACAGCAGAUAUGGAAAAACUCUUGUCUCUGACUGCCACUGCAGUGUCAGCACCUAGCCAAACUAGUGGGAUCAGCACCCUGCCAACAGCCACCUCACUCUCAUAAACCCACAAAGCCCGAAAAAGAAACUGAGCAAAUAUUUCCUAUGGUAUGAAUGGUGAAGUCUCUUUGGAAGAAGUCAGAGUAUUGCACACUGGAAGAUUUGUCAGCUUCCAAUUCCUAUUCAUCCUGCUUGGCUCAUGCUUUGGUAUUUCUGUUUUGUGCUAAACCUGGAUCUAGGAUUAUGUCCCACAGAUGCAACUUUCUGGGCCCUCAGAGAAGACCUGAAGGGCCUUAGGAGGAGGCAGAUUAUUUGUUUCCAAGACGGCAUUAAUCACCAAGUGUCACUGAGAAAGUGAGGAGGAAAACACAAUUACAGUUUUGGCCAGAAAGAAGCAUUAGGAACAGCAUUGCAAGAGAUCUUCCAAAACAUGCAAAGCUUUCUAUGAAUUGAGAAAUUAAGAUAAUGGGGUUACAGAAAUAAAUCUGGUGCCAGUGUUUUAGCCUGACAAGAAAUAAACCUUUGACUCUUCAGGAUAUGCCUCCAAAGCAUCCAGUGCUGGGAGAAAAUAUGGAACACUUGAAGCCCCACUGACUGCAUAUGAGAAGAUAGCAAAGAAGCAACCACCAUGUUCCUUAAGAAAAUGCUAUUAUUAAACACAGCCACUUUUUCCUUUAGAAGAAGAUCCACAAGUCCCAAGAAAGACAGUAUGCAACUUGCAUGCAGCUAUGACAGAUUGCUGUGUAAGUGAUCUGUACAAAACUAAGAGCUUUCCUUCACAGCAAGUUUAACAACAUUUUAAGAAGCACCUUUAUACCUGUAAAGGAAAGUGAAGGAGGAGGGGUGAUGUUGUCUCAUAAGUUUUUCAGAGAGCUCUUACACAUAGAAAUAAUGAAUGUAUUUUCAAAUCUGUGUACAGCUGCUUAACAAGGAACUAUAGCUUUCUGUAGUGGAGUACAGCAAGACCUCAGGUGCACAGUAUUAAACUGCUACCAUGAAGGUGGGCCAGAUAAGAGUGCUGUAUUCUCUUUGAAAAGUAAGAGAAAGCACUGCUAUCAUUUUCUCAGCUUUGGAAGGGCAAAUGCCAAAUUUUUCAUCAAAAACAUAAAAAACAACUUUCACCACCACCAUAUUUUGCUUAGGAGCAUAACUGCAAAAACAAGUUAAAGCAACCAAGAGAAAAUGUUUACAAAGUGCUAUGUCUGUUCUCACCUAUUUGAAAAUUAACUCUAUCCCGGCUGCAUCCAGGACAUAAACAAAAGUAGAAAUGGAAAUGAAGCCCCUUUUAUUUCAAAUCAUUAUUCAAAAGUCCUGUCUGCUUCCAGGCUAUGCUUGAGAUAAUCAUCUAUUACUUAAAACUGAGGUAAUGGAACAAGCAGCAGUCUGACCAGAACAGCUUAGAUUGCAUGGCAGUGCUGAGGAAGCUGAAGGUGCCUACAAAUUUGUUAUCCCUAAUAUCAAAGAUCAAAAGAGUAAAGUGCUGCUCUGCAGCACAGCACAUAAAUUACUUUAUAAGGGAGCUCUCAUGCAUCCUGAUGGGUCUAUGAGAACUGACAGACACUAAUAGGCAGUAAAAUAAUUUCUCUAGAAGUUCACUUCUGCUGUUUGUUUGCAUACCUCUCUGGGGCAGAAGUGAAAUUUGCUAGUGUUUCCCCCUGAAUCUGCCUCCCAUGCAUUGAAAACAAUGAAAUUCUAUUUGAAUUAGGACAGCAGGAGAGGCAAUUUAAAGGGGCACUAAAGAUUCAGUCUCUUAAUCACAACUGUGACAAAAUGCUGUUAUCCUUGCCGGCAAUUCCCUGGCAAUUUACAGUACACUAGUGUAAAAGGAGGAGACCUUGCAUUGCAAAGAAACCUGACCAGAUAACCAGGUCUUCAUCUACUGAUUCCCCUUUCCUGGCACUGCUGCACAUCCACGGCAUCACCAGGUACUCUGCCACCCUGAAGCAAUUCGGGAGCUAUAUUCUGACCCUGACAUUGAAUCUAAAGUUAUUUAGAAAGCAAAGUCAGUGCAGAGGUUGGCUCCUGAAUAACCCAUUUAGCGAGGAGGGCAUUUCAGUAGGGCUGUGUGAAUGCACACCAGCAGCCCCAUUAGGCUGCAGCAGCACCUCAAGCGUUUUUACUAUUGGGGCAACCUAAAACCACUCUGCCUGAACUGUGCUUUCUGCUGCUCCCCAAAAGGGACUCCCUUCCUGCAUAUUGGACAGAAAUUAAAUUGUUGGGCAGGUUUCCCCUGCAAGGUCCUGGAACCCUAGGUUGCUCUAAGUAUAGCAGUUGUUUUAGGAUAUAAGAAAAGACAUACAUAAUGAGGAAUUUAAGAAAGAUCUAAAGACUUUGAAGAUAACAUCCCAAAAUAAAGAAGACUUAAAGAAAGAAUUAGGAUUUUUUUUUCUUUCAUGUAAUUGCUGAGCUGAUUUCCUGCUGAACAAUUGCUCAAAUGUAACAAAAAAAAAUUGUUGAACUGACAAUGGUAAGUUAAAUAAAGGCAUAUUUUUAUAAUCUGCAUGUAACUGAAGCUAAUUUAAAAUAUAAGGAAAAGCAAGUAGUGUAAAGCCAGGAAAAUACCCCAAGGAUCAAUAUGAUCUUCAAAAGAUUGUGAUGUUUUCAACAACUUGUUAAUUGCUGGUAUAUCAGUAAGUGCCAAACCCAAAUCAUUGUUUCAAAUUAUGUUCCAAAGCAAAACACAUGGAAGUUGCCAACCUCUUUUAAGCAACAAAAAUAAAAGACUCCACAUACUUAUGAGUGAUUUUUGAAUUAUUGUAAUUCUUAUGACUCUCAUAAGUUGCAUUGGCUCUCAAAUGAAUCUCUGCUUUCAUUACCAAUCACUGCUGUUUAAAGGCCUUGAAUAUUUGAAUCUUAGAAUUCUUCCUGUGAGAUGCUUAAAUAAAUAGAAACUGCAAAUAUGUGUUUUUAGCCUUUAAUCUGGUCACUUUUGUCAAGAGAAAUACUAUUAAAUUACCCUAGCUGUUCUUCAGGCAAAACUCUUAAGCCAUCUAUUACCCAUGUUCCUUUAGGCUGCAAACAUUCUCAAAUAGGUUUGCCUAUUUCUUUUGCUUCUCUCUUUAUAACUAGCUGAUGAGAAAAAGCAGAAGAAAUGUUAAGUGUGAUUAAUUUAUUUUAAAGCAUAUUGUUAAGCUAGCAUCCCUUUCCAGAAUAGCAAAUUUCUGCUGACAGCCUUUUUACACCAGAUUUUCAGCCAGUUUUCCAUGAGAAGUUUCCAGCAUCCUGUAAGAAAAAUUUCCGUUUCCUGUGAAGUCUCCUGGAGUUGUUAAUUUAUGUAGAAUGAAGAAAGUAAUUUCAAAACAGAUAUGAAGUGGGCAAUUGCUUUUCCCUUCCUGAGGUUGCCAUGGGUUUGUUCUCUUGAAGGAGAGCCUCACCUUUCAGUUGAGGACUUCCAGCAGCAGGAGUUUCUCUGGUGCUGUGCACAGAGCUCUUCACCUACAAGUGGAAGGGAAGAUAGAGUCCCUGCAGCCACUUCAGGAUUUCUACUUGGAAGCCUAGUAAUGAAACACUGAAGUGAAAAUAAUUAGAAGUAUUUGGAAUUCAGUGUCAAAGUUUCUCAAUUGAGACAUCUCAAAUAUAUCCAUUGAAAACAUCGUCCUACCCAUUACUGUUCAGAUACUCUUCAGUAUUUCUGUUCAAAUGGUGUAUUAGCUGGUCUGAGGCUGUUGAAUAUCACUUCUAAUAGUUCAUAGCAUCCUUUAUAAAUAAUUUGUUUUCUGUAGAAUUUCACAUUGCUUUCUUAACUGAGAUAAUUUGUAGACAAUUUUGUAAUUAAAAAAACUAUUUAGAAACUGUGGAUCUUGUUUUGAAUUGUGCUUGAAGUUUAAUCAAAAUUUUUAUGGAGAGAGACAAAACUUAUCUCCAAAACCAUUUUAAAUAUGUUAGGGAUCACUGUUUUCCUCUGGUAUUGCUUUGAGUCAGAACAUUGACAAUGUUAAAAAAACUAAUUUUUUUGGGAGAAAGACUCAAGGGUAAGAUUUUAUUCUGUUUGUAUCCUUCCAAUUAUUUUUGCAAGGCUCUCUGAAAAAUGACUGGUUGUCUUCUCUGUCCUUCAGGACAGCUGGUCGAUAUCCAUAAGGCUUCCUCUUGGAAGGAAAUCUGGAAUUCUGUGUAUUUAAUUGUUUUUUUCUAUCUUCUUGGGUUUUUUUACUAGAAUGUUUAAGCUAAAAAUGUAUCAAAAUUCUGUGGUGAAAUUUAGGCAUGAGAAUCCAAUUAAAUAACUUAACUUCUCCUUAAAAUUGCUUUAACCAGCAUCAUUGAGCAUAUCACAAUGAGUUUGGUUAGUAAAGCUGAGACUAUGUUUUCUGAGUCAGAGAGCAGGUGGGAAAUGGGGGUUGUGGGGGUGGAAUUAUUCUGGUUUUCUACAGUUCUUGACUUUGGUGGGAAUUGUAGGUAUUUAGCACCCCGGAUUAACAGGUAACUUAUUUAGGUGUUUAAUUGUAGGCACUCAGGCUGAAUUUUAAGUUAUUUUUCUUCCUUGAGUUUAGAUAUAAGUGAGUAGAGGGUGGCAUUUUAUGCCUUGUAAGAUAUAAAAGCAUGGAGGGAAAGAACUGGUUUGAGGCUGCAUAUCAGGACAUACCUAGAAGGAAAAGGGUUAAAGAUAAGCAGAGUAAAAUGCGUGCCCCAUAUGAGAACAAAACUUGCAAACAAGAUAAAUUUGUCUAUAAGAGGGUUUUCCAAAGCAACCAAAGAAAAUGUUGACAUUCAUGGACAUCCAGAAGUACUCUGGGAAAAAAAAGGAGACAUUUCCUGAACCCUGGAUAGAAACAAUUUUCAUCUCUGAUAUUGUGUCUGAAUAUUCGGUGUGAAACAGUGAUUUUGCUUGAAAAUACAUAGGGCAGCCAAAAGCUUGUAGCCACUUGUGCCUUGCUGAGAGCUCAGCUUCCAUAAAACUGAGCUCCUUUAAAGAAGGUGCCACGCUGUCAGCACAUCUGUCUCGAGCAAGGGAAGGAAGCACUGAAGGUGGAGGAUUGCUGUUCAUUAAUUGCAUCAUAUUGAGCUUCCAGGCAGACUUGAGACGGCCAAAAGGUGGAGAUUUUUAGGUUCCUCCCCCUACUUUUCUAUCUCCUCCCCCCUUCCCAAAAUAAGUGUUUUGUCAAAACCGCCUUGUGGCAGAGCAAGGGUUUUAAAAGGAAAGUCAGGAACAAAGCAAGAAUUUUGGAGACUAGGUUAAUUCCAAUCCUUUCUUUUCUGAAAGGUAGACUUGUAAUGUGUACACUCUAUCAAGUUACACUUCUUUUUCACUGCUACUCAGGGUGCAAAUCCAAAAAAAGCUAAACAUAUAAGCAAUAAUAAAAUAGGGUCACGAGUCAUCAUUCAGCCUUGUAAGUACAAGAGUUUUCAGCUUCCAGUCGUUGAUCAAAGAAUAAAAAUUAUAAGAACUGGGGAUAUAUUCAUACUUUGUUCCAUUUUAUUCAUGUGUGGAUUACUCAUGGAAAAUUUUCCUCUGCUUUCAAUAGAAAUAUUUCCGAGUUAAAAUCUGUAAAAACUAGCUGAUACUUAAGUACUUUUUUAGAAUUAAGGAUUCAUUAAUAAAAUGAGUCUGUGGGUCUUACAAUUUCUUUAUUAGAAAUGUAUACUUGACUAAUUUACUUAAUAUUGUGCCAGUGUUGCACACUGUAAUCUUGUAUUUCUAGAUGUAAAAUGUAGUGAAGACUUUUCAAUGCAUCACAGCAGUUGCUUUGUGAAUGGAAAUAUAUUUACUGCAAGUGUAAACAACUAAAUGUGUGAGACAAGACAUCUGCCAAGGAUAAAGUCUUGAAUUAAAUCCUAUUUUUAUCAAA